AUACUUACCUGGCAGGGGAGAUACCAUGAUCACGAAGGUGGUUUUCCCAGGGCGAGGUUUGUCCAUUGCACUCCGGAUGUGCUGACCCCUGCGAUUUCCCCAAAUGUGGGAAACUCGACUGCAUAAUUUGUGGUAGUCGGGGACUGCGUUCGCGCUUUCCCCGG
rnacentral:snRNA from 1 species